rnacentral:lncRNA from 1 species
CGGUUUUACCACCAGAAUGCCUAUGAGAUAGUGGUCGGCCUUUCGAAUGCCUUCUUCCUGACUUUUCUGAGAAGCCCUUUACGACUAUACUAUAAAGGACAGGGGGGUGUUCACCUUUGGAAACUUAGCUACUUAAGUCCUUCUCAGAAAGUCAAAGUAAAGGCGAACGGCAUUCUGUUCUACAGCUACAACACUGAAUAUUUCUUAUUUAUAUUAAACAUCUUAAUAGUAGAACUACUUUCGUACUACUAAACAAGGAAACCUUCGGUUCCCUUUGUUUGAAUAAACGCCGCUUAUUUUAGUUUACAUUCAAACCAAAGUAAACCAAGCCUAAGCGGUCACGACAUCUUGUUGAUAUUGAUUGAGGAGUUUGAUGGA